rnacentral:rRNA from 1 species
UACGAAGGGGGCUAGCGUUGCUCGGAAUCACUGGGCGUAAAGGGCGCGUAGGCGGAUCUUUAAGUCGGGGGUGAAAGCCCAGGGCUCAACCCUGGAAUUGCCUUCGAUACUGGAGAUCUUGGGACCGGAAGAGGUAAGUGGAACUGCGAGUGUAGAGGUGAAAUUCGUAGAUAUUCGCAAGAACACCAGUGGCGAAGGCGGCUUACUGGUCCGGUUCUGACGCUGAGGCGCGAAAGCGUGGGGAGCAAACAGG